rnacentral:rRNA from 1 species
GACGAACGCUGGCGGCGUGCUUAACACAUGCAAGUCGAACGAUGAUGCCCAGCUUGCUGGGUGGAUUAGUGGCGAACGGGUGAGUAACACGUGAGUAACCUGCCCCUGACUCUGGGAUAAGCGUUGGAAACGACGUCUAAUACUGGAUAUGACUACCGGCCGCAUGGUCUGGUGGUGGAAAGAUUUUUUGGUUGGGGAUGGACUCGCGGCCUAUCAGCUUGUUGGUGAGGUAAUGGCUCACCAAGGCGACGACGGGUAGCCGGCCUGAGAGGGUGACCGGCCACACUGGGACUGAGACACGGCCCAGACUCCUACGGGAGGCAGCAGUGGGGAAUAUUGCACAAUGGGCGAAAGCCUGAUGCAGCAACGCCGCGUGAGGGAUGACGGCCUUCGGGUUGUAAACCUCUUUUAGUAGGGAAGAAGCGAGAGUGACGGUACCUGCAGAAAAAGCACCGGCUAACUACGUGCCAGCCGCCGCAGUAA